AUUGAACGCUGGCGGCAGGCCUAACACAUGCAAGUCGAACGAGUGGCGGACGGGUGAGUAAUGUCUGGGAAACUGCCCGAUGGCGGGGGAUAACUACUGGAAACGGUAGCUAAUACCGCAUACCAUCGGAUGUGCCCAGAUGGGAUUGGCUAGUAGGUGGGGUAACGGCUCACCUAGGCGACGAUCCCUAGCUGGUCUGAGAGGAUGACCAGCCACACUGGAACUGAGAAACGGUCCAGACUCCGACGGGAGGCAGCAGUAGGGAAUAAUGCACAAUAGUGGCAAGCCUGAUGCAGCAAUGCCGCGUGUAUGAAGAAGGCCUUCGGGUUGUAAAGUACUUUCAGCGAGGAGGCGUUACUCGCAGAAGAAGCACCGGCUAACUCCGUGCCAGCAGCCGCUGUAAUUC
rnacentral:rRNA from 1 species